AAAUCCCGCCUGUUUACCAAAAAACAUCACCUCUAGCAUCCUUAGUAUUAGAGGCACUGCAUGCCCAGUGACAUUAGUUCAACGGCCGCGGUAUCCUGACCGUGCAAAGGUAGCAUAAUCACUUGUUCUUUAAAUAAGGACUCGUAUGAAUGGCCAGACGAGGGUUU
rfam:Cavia porcellus supercont2_48 genomic scaffold, whole genome shotgun sequence.